UGUCACCGCCGCUUGACCGAGCGUAGUCACUCACGAGAAGACCUUCGCUACGAUGGAGCGGGAGUCGUGCUCACAACCCUGGAAGAGGCGCCGCCUGACCUCGCACGUUUCCUCGGCCCAGCCACCACCUCCUCCGCCUCCACCGCCUUCUUAUCCGGCCAAAUAGUUCGGGCAAAGGAGCCUAAGAUCUCUCUUCCUGACCUGACCCACGGAAUUCACGGCCGGCUAGGCCACCACCGAGGGCGAGGAAGCGGCGGGAGGAGGAGGAAGCUCCAGAGGCGGCGUCCAAACCUCGUCGAAGGUGCCUCGAGGGGGAGUGAGUGUCUGUUUUGGAUUCAUAUUGGAUUAGGAUUAUGUUGGUUGUAAUCCGGUAGCCCGAAGUUUGCUAGGGAUCCGAUUGUGAAUUCCGCCUCACUAUUUCACAGCUCCGCCCCGCUCUCAAAACCCUUCGUUCUUCCGUCGCCUUCAGCUGGAGUAGGCCGGAGCAGAUCGACAUAAAUCUUAGCGACAAUCCAAAAGAAACCGUGGUAUCAAAUUUUCUUGUGGAGUGAGAUGUUCCAGCUUAGCCGAAGAAAUGAGGAUAAGCGAAUCAUGAUUUGGCUUACCAAUGGAACUUCAGGAGGAAGAAGAAAAAGAAGAAGAAGAAGAAAAAAAAAACAUUCUGGUCCUUUCCCUUUUGGCAUGGGAGGUAUUGGAAAGAUUUACAAGUGUGUGUUAUUUGUGGAGAUAUUGGCUACUCGGAACAAAUAAUCAUCUAUCAUCGAUGCAAAAGGAAUUCUGAACACAUUUUUCAAUGGAAAGAGUUAAAAGAUGCUAAAAGUAGUAGCAACGGUGAAGGAUGUAACUUUACAGCUAGUUCUAUUAACCCUAGCUGAACAAGUAGAAAGUUCAAUGCCAAUGAAGUUCAAAAGAAAAACUCAAAGUACUAAACACUUGUGGACAAAACAAGAGGAUGCUGCAUUAGUUGUUUGCCUUGUUGAGUUGAACAAAGAUUUGACUUGGAAGAGAGAAUGAUUUUCGAAUUGGGCACUUACUGCAUUUGGAGAAACUCAUGGCUGUUAAAUUGCCAUUAAACAAUUUGAAUGCUACCCCUCAUAUCGAGUCAAGAUACAAGUUAUUGAAGAGGCAGUUUCAUGCUAAAAAUGAGAUGUUGAAUCAUAGCACUGGAUUAGGGUGGAAUGAUGGUGAGAAGUGUUUCAUUACAACAAAGGAUGCCCUUGAUAAUUGAGUUAAGGAUUGUGAAAGUUGAUCUCAAGUUUCCCUCAAAGCCAACUAUUUCCCCUAGCGCGAAGGACCUUAUCAGCCAGAUGCUUGUCAAAGAUUCAUUGCAACGACUUCCUCUUAACAAGCUGCUCGAGCAUCCAUGGAUAGUGUAAAAUACAUAUCCUUCAGGUGCAUAUCAAGGUUGAAUGCUGUACUCCUCCCUGAUGCCGGAUUCUAUCGUAUCAAAUUCAUGACCAUCAUUAAGAGGAUAGGCUAUGGUAGGAAGAGAAGGAUGACAAAAAGCUCAACCUCUAUCUCAGAUGCUUGGCAUUAAGCAAAAGGAUUGAGUUAGCAUGGGUCUAUUGAGAAAAUAAAUAAAAAAGCAAAUUUAGUUGAGUUCAAAUAGUUGAGAUAAAUAUGGUUAGUUUCAUAGUUAUCAUAA